CCCCUUUAACUCGCUCGUCUUACAAACUGCAGUGUUGUCAAUGCAGGCUGAUUUUGGUCGGCGGAAUUAUUUAAACUAAAGUUACCCGUUUUUAACUUUCUACCUCCUCACGAAGUGGGUGUAACUGUGUGGUUUAGCUUUACGAGCUCGUAUUCCUGCUUGUAAAGAAUGCUCUGGUUCAUGUUGUUCGUGUCGGUGCUGUGGUCUUGUCUGAUGAAUACUGGACCCGCUCGAGGAUACUUCCAUGAAGAGCGCUGGAGCCCGGAGUCUCCUUUAUUAGCUCCCCGAGUAAUGAUCGCUCUGAUCUGCCGUAACGCCCAGCACUCGCUGCCACAUUUCCUCGGGACCAUUGAGCGUCUGAAUUACCCCAAAGACCGAGUCGCGCUGUGGGUAGCAACGGACCACAAUAUUGACAACACCACUUACCUACUGCGAGACUGGCUCAUCAGUGUACAGAAACUCUACCAUUAUGUUGAGUGGAGGCCAAAGGAGGAACCCAGAAAAUAUAAUGAUGAGGAAGGACCGAAGGAAUGGACGAAUGAGCGUUACGCCUACAUCAUGAGACUGCGGCAGGCGGCGCUUGAGUCUGCACGAGAGAUGUGGGCAGACUAUCUCAUGAUGAUUGAUUGUGAUAAUCUCCUGAUCAACCGAGAUGUCAUAUGGAAACUAAUAAAAGAGAACAAGACAAUUGUGGCACCAAUGAUGGAGUCUCGUGCUGCCUACUCAAACUUCUGGUGUGGAAUGACAUUCCAGGGCUACUAUAAACGAACCCCAGCCUACAUCCCCAUGCGCAAGCAAGUGCGUAGGGGUUGCUUUGCCGUUCCAAUGGUGCAUUCGACUUUCCUGGUUGACCUGCGGAAAGAAGCUUCCAGACUGCUUGCUUUUCACCCACCACAUCCAGACUACACCUGGGCCUUUGAUGACAUUAUAGUCUUUGCUUUUUCAGCCCGCAUGGCAGGGGUCCAAAUGUUCAUUUGUAACAGGGAGACUUAUGGUCAUCUCCCAGUGCCUCUUCGUGCGCACAGCACCAUGCAGGAUGAAGCCGACAGCUUCAUUCAUACCGUCCUGGAGGUCAAUGUGAGAAAUCCUCCAGUUGAGCUUUCCAGAUACUUGCCCAAACCUGUCAAAAGACCUGACAAAAUGGGCUUUGAUGAGGUGUUUAUGAUCAACCUGAAGCGGCGGGCCGACCGUCGUGAGCGCAUGCUGAGGGCAUUGAGAGAGCAAGAAAUCGACUGCAAGAUUAUCGCUGCUGUUGAUGGCAAAGCUAUGAACGUCAGUGAGAUCCAUGCUAUGGGAAUCCACAUGCUUCCUGGCUACAGUGACCCAUACCACGGCAGACCUCUGACGAGAGGAGAGCUGGGCUGCUUCCUGUCCCACUAUAACAUCUGGAAAGAGAUUGUAGACCGAGGCCUGAAGACCUCACUGGUGCUUGAAGAUGAUUUGCGGUUUGAGAUUUUCUUCAAGCGCCGCCUGCAGAAUCUGAUAAGUGAGGUGGAGAGUGAGGGUCUGGACUGGGACCUCAUUUAUAUUGGGAGGAAGAGGAUGCAAGUGGACCGGCCUGAAAAAGCAGUCCCGAAUAUUCGCAACCUGGUGGAGGCGGACUAUUCCUAUUGGACCUUGGGUUACAUGAUGUCAUUACAAGGAGCCAAAAAGCUCCUCAAAGCAGAACCACUCACUAAAAUGUUGCCUGUGGACGAAUUCCUUCCUGUAAUGUUUAAUAAGCAUCCUGUAUCAGACUACAUGGAGCAGUUUGAGACGAGGGACCUGAAAGCAUUCUCAGCGGAGCCCUUGCUUGUGUUUCCUACACACUACACGGGUGAAGCAGGGUACAUCAGUGACACCGAAACCUCCACAGUGUGGGACAAUGAGAAAGUGCAUACAGACUGGGACAGGAAGCACUCGGGUAAAACCCAGGAACAGGCUGAGAUCAGCACAGAGGCCCAAAACACAGAUGUGCUCCAGUCUCCUCUGGACAGGACAGCCCGGGACGAACUAUGAGAGACUAGAACUGCUUCUGGGGGGCGAAGUCUGGUUCCACUAUAAGCACAAUAUAACUCAUCAGAAGAUGCCUUUUUAAAGAUUUUUUUAAAUCUGUAAAAAAAAAAAAAAAAGAAAUGUUUUCAGAUUAAACGUUUGUCCAUUUAUUGUUGAUCAGAUUUGUGACAGAGGCCUGACUGCACUUUGCCAUGACAGCAGCACCUGUUCUUCACUGUAUCCUGCGAUAAAAAUGUCAGGUGCCAGCUUCAUGGAAAUCUUCUUAAGAAAGAAGUUAGCAAAUUUACAAAAAUAAGGUUUAGUUAGUAAGGAUGAAAAAUUCUUAAAGGAAUAUUUUUUUGAAUGAAAAUUUGUCGAAAAUGUGCUCAACCUCGGGCCGUCUAAGAUGUCUUUGUUUUUUUUUCAUCAAAACAGAUUUUGGAGGAUCCACUUACAUCACUUGCUCACCAGUGGAUCCUCUGCAGUGAAUGGGCGCCGUCAGAAUGAGAGUCCAAACAGCUGAUUGAAACAACACAAUAAUCCACACGACUCCUGUUCAACAUUUAACAUCAUAGGAAGUGUAAAGCUUCAUGUUUAUAAGAAAUGAAUCCACCAUUAUGCCAUUUUAAUUUACAUCAUUGCUUCUGGUCAAAAUAAUUGUCCAUAAUCAAUAAUAAUGCUUCCUUCAGUGAAAACGUCGCUGAGUCUGAAAUGGGUGAAAUAUAAACAGAUCAAUCCCCAUUUACAAGUAAAAACACUUUCUAAACCAUUAAAUGUCAGUGGAUUUUGAGGUUCAGGACAACAGGAGAUGCUAGUUUUCACUGGAGGAAGUGUUAUUGCAGAUUAUUGAUUUGUGUAUUUUGGCCACAUGUGCCUUAAUGUUAAGAUUUGUUUCUAUAGAUUACGUAAAUCAUUAAUUGAUGGACUGGAAUGGAGACGUGUGGAUUAUUGUGAUGGUUUUAUCACCUGUUUAGACUCUCAUUCUGACGGCACCCAUUCACUGCAGAGGAUCCAUUGGUGAGCAAUUGAUGUAACGCUACAUUUCUCCAAAAUCUGUUCUUAUGAAGAAAAUUGCAGUUAAGAAGAAUUUUAUCUUAAAGAUAUUUUGUGAAUCCCUUCACACUUUGAUUAAUCAUGUAAUUAAUAUUUUUCUUUCCAUACAUGAACAUAGUCAUUCUUAACAAUAAUACUCAAGACAUGAAACAUGUUAUUUUAAGACAUGAAGCAUGUUAUUUUAACUUGAGGGAUGUCGUUAUUUUUAGGUCUUGAUACCAUUACCCUCUUCAGUGGUGUUUCAGACUGUUACUUCCCUUCAUCAAAGCCAACAGCCAUACACUCCUCACUGUGUGGUCUUUCUGUCGUAUCAUCAGGACAGCAAUUAAAGGUUUAAUUAUAUCACAGCUGCGUAGCCACAAGACAAACAUGAUGAUGCUGGCACAGCCCCGCAAACCAUUUUCCUGCAUGCUGAAGAUAGAUGAUGUGACGACUGCUUUGAGUUUCGAUCUCAAUUCGCUGGUGGGUAAAAUGAGCUUAAACGCUUGAGAGGAUAUCUAAAAAGAGAAUCAGAACCAACUUUUGUGUAUUAUAGAAUGUUAUGCAGUCACUGCUUAUUGUACCAGUGUCAUGACAGAAGCUAUCAUGAUGUUACAUGGCUUUGAGAGACUGACUCCCAAAACAAAAUGUGUUUAUUAGUUAAUUUAUUAAUUCAGUUUUUCAGUUUGUGCUGUGGAUGUUGUAUUUAGACGUAAAACUGAUCGCUGAAUGUACCUUGAAAUUCUUACCUGUGUCACUAAGUGCUUUAUAUUUGAACAAAAGUCAAGGGUAGAGGCCUGU